GUCAGAGCCGUAUCUCCCUGUAGCUCUCGCCGGGUUUCCCACUGAAGUUAAACAGGGUUGAGUUCGGUCAGUACCUGGGUGGGAGACCUCCUGGUGAAAACUAAGGUUGCUGUUG
rnacentral:rRNA from 1 species